rnacentral:rRNA from 1 species
AGCAUGUGGUUAAUCGAAGCAACGCGAAGAACCUUACCAGGUCUUGACAUCCCGAUGCUAUUCUAGAGAUAGAAGUUACUUCGGUACAUCGGUGACAGGUGGUGCAUGGUUGUCGUCAGCUCGUGUCGUGAGAUGUUGGGUUAAGUCCCGCAACGAGCGCAACCCCUAUUGUUAGUUGCCAUCAUUCAGUUGGGCACUCUAGCGAGACUGCCGGUAAUAAACCGGAGGAAGUGGGGAUGACGUCAAAUCAUCAUGCCCCUUAUGACCUGGGCUACACACGUGCUACAAUGGUUGGUACAACGAGUUGCGAGUCGGUGACGGCGAGCUAAUCUCUUAAAGCCAAUCUCAGUUCGGAUUGUAGGCUGCAACUCGCCUACAUGAAGUCGGAAUCGCUAGUAAUCGCGGAUCAGCACGCCGCGGUCGAAUACGUUCCGGGCCUU